GCAGGAGUCGCCGAGCCUGGCCAAAGAAGGCCUAGCCUUUGGACGCGCGGGACUUAAGAUCCCGUCUCUUAGGGGUUCGUGGGUUCAAAUCCCACCUCCUGCA
rnacentral:tRNA from 1 species